rnacentral:lncRNA from 13 species
CAAACUUUUAGCACUUGAUGUUCCCAGAGUAUUUGUUCUCAGCUAUAGCUCAUUAAAUGAGCUGCUCCACUACUGAGUCUAUAAAUUGAAACAAAAGCAAAGAGCUCUUUUUUUUUUCUUUCUUCAAAGUAGAUGGCUCCAAACGGAAAUGCACUUAAGUCUGGGUUUGCUACAAGUUUUUCUUACACAUAGUGGGUAUUCGGCAGAAUAAAUGCAUGUCGUUAAUCCAGCCGUUUUUCAAUACCAAUCUGGUUGGGACAUCUCUGGGUUGGAGGCGUGGAACCAUGACUGUUAACUGGUAACUGGAUGAGGCUGAAGGGAGACCAUGCAAAAGACCCUUGCAGGCAGGCACACAAUGGCUGGAGGUCGAGAGAAAGAAAUUGGUGGAAGAAGACACAGCAGCUGGAUGGCGAAAGGACAGCAAGGGGAGCGCACCUGCGGAAGGGCAC